AACGAACGCUGGCGGCAUGCCUAACACAUGCAAGUCGAACGAGACCUUCGGGUCUAGUGGUGCACGGGUGCGUAACGCGUGGGAACCUGCCCUUAGGUUCGGAAUAACUCCCCGAAAGGGGUGCUAAUACCGGAUAAUGUCUUCGGACCAAAGAUUUAUCGCCUUUGGAUGGGCCCGCGUUGGAUUAGCUAGUUGGUAGGGUAAAAGCCUACCAAGGCGACGAUCCAUAGCUGGUCUGAGAGGAUGAUCAGCCACACUGGGACUGAGACACGGCCCAGACUCCUACGGGAGGCAGCAGUGGGGAAUAUUGGACAAUGGGCGAAAGCCUGAUCCAGCAAUGCCGCGUGAGUGAUGAAGGCCUUAGGGUUGUAAAGCUCUUUUACCCGGGAUGAUAAUGACAGUACCGGGAGAAUAAGCGCCGGCUAACUCCGUG
rnacentral:rRNA from 1 species